rnacentral:rRNA from 1 species
CUGUUCCCAUGCCGAACACAGUAGUUAAGCUCCUUAGCGCCGAUGGUAGUUGGACUUACGUUCCGCUAGAGUAGGACGUUGCCAGGC